UAAGUGAAAUUGUUUUACGGUGUAGGGAAGCCGGUGUGAAUCCGGCGCACUCCCGGUGCUGUGAGAAGGAACGAAAUCCCAUUGCCACUGCGCGAAAGCGCGGGAAGGCGGGAAAGUAGGCUAGACCUUCGAGUCAGAAAACCUUACCGUAGAAUGAAAUACCGC
rnacentral:ncRNA from 2 species